UGUCUUUGGAAUAGACCAUCUAUCAAAGACACACAAGACAGGCUGCUCCAAAAAUAGCUCUCCCCCAAAUCAGCUGCAGUCCCCAACUUCCACCAUUAAUUUCACAUCACUUAGUAUUUGGACACAGGUAAGGUCUCAUGAAAGAAGGUACAGAAUAUGAUUCCAACUUGGCAGCAAGAUGCCAAAAAGAGAGGAAGAGAUUUUUACCUUCUUGAGCCACACAAUAUGGUUGGAGGGCAGCAGUCCUUUCAAAUAUAUUCAGCCCCAUGAGACUUGAAGGAAAUCAGAGUGUGGGUGACAUGUACACACAGUCGUGAGAAAGGCCCUGCCCACCAUCAUCAGCCACAGUCUGUGAGUAUCUCAUGGGCCCAACACAAGGACAAGCCAACAAGCAAUCCUGGGAGACCCCCUGGGGAGGAAUGCCCAAAAAGAGAAAAAGGAGAAAGUAGCCACCUGUAGCAUGAAAAGAGUGAUAGUUGCUUCUCUGUGUGAUUUCCCCAGGUGUCUACCAGCAUAAGAUAAUAGACUACAGGAACAUCAGCAGAAUAGGAAAAUGGAUGUGGCAUCUCUCCACCUUCAAUAUUAGGAGAGGCACUCCCUCUCUCCUUGGGUUAAUAAAGAAGCUGGAUUAGGAGAAACGAAGAGGAAG
rnacentral:lncRNA from 13 species